rnacentral:rRNA from 1 species
ACCCAGACCGCCAGCUAAGGUCCCAAAGUUGUGGUUAAGUGGUAAACGAUGUGGGAAGGCUUAGACAGCUAGGAGGUUGGCUUAGAAGCAGCCAUCCUUUAAAGAAAGCGUAAUAGCUCACUAGUCGAGUCGGCCUGCGCGGAAGAUGUAACGGGGCUCAAACCACACACCGAAGCUGCGGGUGUCACGUAAGUGACGCGGUAGAGGAGCGUUCUGUAAGCCUGUGAAGGUGAGUUGAGAAGCUUGCUGGAGGUAUCAGAAGUGCGAAUGCUGACAUGAGUAACGACAAUGGGUGUGAAAAACACCCACGCCGAAAGACCAAGGGUUCCUGCGCAACGUUAAUCGACGCAGGGUUAGUCGGUUCCUAAGGCGAGGCUGAAAAGCGUAGUCGAUGGGAAACAGGUUAAUAUUCCUGUACUUCUGGUUACUGCGAUGGAGGGACGGAGAAGGCUAGGCCAGCUUGGCGUUGGUUGUCCAAGUUUAAGGUGGUAGGCUGAAAUCUUAGGUAAAUCCGGGGUUUCAAGGCCGAGAGCUGAUGACGAGUCGUCUUUUAGAUGACGAAGUGGUUGAUGCCAUGCUUCCAAGAA